AAAUUGAAAUUCAAGAGGUUUUAAUUGAUAAAAAGACAAAAUUGCCAUUCAGUUUUUAACUCAAAUAUCACCUAAUUUUCCCUCAUUUCACCCGUUUCUUCAUUAAAACCCUAUUCUCCCAGUUUCAAAAAUUAACGUCUUCCCUUCUUUUUUUAUCUUCUUCAACUGGAAUUCCUCUCUUUGCUAUGACAACGGUGGAAUCGAACGCAAAUCAAAGAUCUGAGCAAUCAAAUCUUCCUUAACAAAUCGCACUUUGCUAUACACGCUUGUUAUAUCAGCCAAGUUUCAGGUCUACUUUUGACAUCUAGACUCCUGCUUUUGGUAAUGUAUAGAUCCUUUUGCUGAGGCAAAUGCCGAUAAUUCCGGUGCUGGUACCAAAGAAUACGCUCAUAUUCACGUACAACAACGGAAUGGUAGGAAAAGCUAGACAAAUGUGGAAGGAUUGAAGAAAAAAUUCAUUGAUAAUAAAUUACUGAAGGUUCUUAAGAAAUAAUUUUGCUACAAUGGUACUGUCGUCCAGGACCAAAAUUAGGCCAAAUGUGUAUUGUUUCUUAACAUAUGAUCUAUUUCCUUUGUCCGCUUCCUUUUAAUUGAAAUUCAGCAUAUUUAAUAUUGAAGUCCGAUUCUCUUGUGAAGGUUAUUGAACUUCAAGGUGAUUAGCUAAAGAAUGUUUUGACAUUUCUUGUUCAAGUGAUUGAUUUUGGCUGUUUCAUUACAUCUCGUCUUAUGUUCAUGAGAUGUAAGAAAAUUGAAUAAUAAAUAACCAUGGAGGAAGAUGAUUUGAAAGCAUGUUUUAGUUAUUUUAUUUAGUGUUUAUUCUGAUAAAAUAAUAAGUUACAAAAAUUAUAAUGUGAUGGAAAUGAGUGGUGGAUAAAUGUGAAGUAGUUAUGGGUCUUCCGAAAUGUAGGUUAAAAUUAUAAUUGACUUUGAAAAUGAAAUUAUAUGUAACUUACGAAACGACAAACAGAUGCUUAGUGCCUCUGUGUGUGUAGAGAGAGAAUAUUUAAUUUAGGGCUUUGGAGUUUUAGUAAUAAUAUUUAUUGUUUUAAUUUGGUUUCUUAUCAGGCUGGAAUUAUGAAAAAGAAACAUAUCAAUAUUCAUG